rnacentral:rRNA from 1 species
GAACGGCAGCACGGGUGCUUGCACCUGGUGGCGAGUGGCGAACGGGUGAGUAAUAUAUCGGAACGUACCCAGUAAUGGGGGAUAACUAACCGAAAGGUUAGCUAAUACCGCAUACGCCCUGAGGGGGAAAGCGGGGGAUCGAAAGACCUCGCGUUAUUGGAGCGGCCGAUAUCUGAUUGGCUAGUUGGUGGGGUAAAGGCUCACCAAGGCGACGAUCAGUAGCUGGUCUGAGAGGAUGAUCAGCCACACUGGAACUGAGACACGGUCCAGACUCCUACGGGAGGCAGCAGUGGGGAAUUUUGGACAAUGGGCGAAAGCCUGAUCCAGCCAUUCCGCGUGAGUGAAGAAGGCCUUCGGGUUGUAAAGCUCUUUCGGCAGGAACGAAACGGUCUAGGAUAAUACCUUGGGCUAAUGACGGUACCUGAAGAAGAAGCACCGGCUAACUACGUG